AGAUUACAUCAAAAUGCAACGGAAAUGAAAAGACAUAGAGAACCUGAGGGAAUCGAGAGCGGAGCAUUUUAGAAAGAUACCCCUCAUGUGAGCGCACCAGAUCGUGGACAACGAGACCUCUGAGUUAUUAAGAGUAAAAUAUUCCUGCAGAGCGGUGCGGAAUAGCGGGUGGGAGUGAAAAAUAUGAGGGAAGCGCCUAUUUUGAAUCCUAAAACUAUCUUUAGGCAAUCAAUGAGUUUCCUGGGCACCUAUAAUGUCACAAUGUCAAAGCGUGCUCCUAUCAGGCUGUAUAUGAACUCAUGUCAUCAAUCCGCUCCAAACCCAUCAGCACAAUGACACCGUGACCGCGUCCCCUCCGAGCAGAUUGCGGUAUGGUGCUUGUUUUGCUGGUCCUCCAUGUCCUCCGUCCUUGUCCUCUUCCGACAUGGAGACACCAGCCUUUCCCACCACGUCUGACCAGAGACUCUCUGUCUGUGGCGAUCUGGGGAUCUGCGCUGGACCCGCAGGACAAGCUCCAGUCUCAGCGCAGGGGGGGGGGGGUUAGAGGGACAAGAAAACAGGAAAGUGUUGGACGAUAAGGAGGAGAAGAAGCUUAGAGGAACAAUGAGGAAGUGCGGCUGGAAAUCCUGGAUUGUGCCGCUCAGAUAGGAGAAAGUGCCGGGCCGGCGGCUUCCAGGAAAAGAGGGUCACGGCAGGAAGUGAUAAGAGGCUAUGGAACUUCAUGAGCGAGCCCCCCUGUCUAUCACAGGCCCGCAGGGGUGACAUGACUGCGGGGAGGAACUUAUACAGCUUUCCCAGACUCCUGAAGGGCAAAUAAGCAUCAAUACAAAGACAUGGGCAGGGUAACAGGGCACAUCACUAUCAGGGCUCUGGAAAAGCUGUGUGACAAAUGCUAUGGAAGCAAUUCAACAGUGUUUACGCCUGGGCUUAGUCUGAAACUUAGCUAUCCAGCUUCCCCAGACUCCUGAAGGGCAAAUAAGCAUCAAUACAGAGACAUGGGCAGGAUAACAGGGAACAUCCCAAUCAGGACUCUGAAAAGCUGGGUGACAAAUGUUAUGGAAGCAACUGAACACCGUUUAUACCUGGGGUUAGUCUGAAACCUAGCUAUCCAGCUUUCCCAGACUCCUGAAGGACAAAUAUGUAACAUACAGAGACAUGGGCAUGGUAACAGGGCACAUCACAAUCAGGACUCUGGAAAAGCUGGGUGAUAAAUACCAUGGAAGCAAUUCAACAGUGUUUGACUGGGCUUAGUCUGAAACCUACUUACCCAGCUUUCCCAGACUCCUAACGGGCAAAAAUGCAUAGAUACAGAGACAUGAGCAGGGUAACAGGGAAAAUCACAUUCAGGAAAAGCUGGGUGAUAAACAUUAUGGGAGCGAACACAGUGUUUACAAGACUGGCAUAACUGUAAUUUAGCCAUCCAGCUUUCUUAGCCCCCUACAUAGUAAAUAAUGAUGAUUACAGAGACACAGGCAGGGUAACAGGGCACAUCACAAUCAGGACUCUGGAAAAGCUGGGUGACAAAUGCUAUGGAAGCAAAUGAACAGCGUUUAUACCUGGGCUUAGUCUGAAACCUAGUUAUCCAGCUUUCCAGACUCCUGAAGGGCAAAUAAGUAAGAUAUAAAGGCAAACUCACCACUCAGGACUCUAGAAAAGAUGGGUGAUAAAGAGUAUGGGGUAAAGAAGGAGAUAUACAUAGAUAUUAAAAAGGCACAUACUACAUUCAGGACUCUGGAAAAGUUGGGUGACAAUUACCAUGGAAGCAACUCAACAGUGUUUAUGCCUGGGGUUAGCCUGGAACCUAGUUAUCCAGGUUUACUAGACUCCUGAAGGGCAAAUAGGCAUGGGCAGGGAAACAGGGCACAUCACAAUCAGGACUCUGGAAAAGCUGGAUGAUAAACAUUAUGGGAGCGAACACUGUGUUUAAAUGAUUGGCAUAACCGUAAUAUAGCUAUUCAGCUUUCUUUGCCCCCUGCAUGGUAAUUAAUGAUAGGUACAGAGACAUGGGCUAGGUAACGGCACAUCACAAUCAGGACUCUGGAAAAGCUGGGUGACAAAUGCUAUGCAAGCGACUGAACAGCGUUUAUACCUGAGGUUAGUCUGAAACCUAGUUAUCCAGCUUUCCCAGACUCCUGAAUAAGUAGGAUAUAGAAGAGGUAUACUUACUACUCUGCCCUUAUGCCUGCAGUUAGUCUGACAUCUAGCUACCCAGCUUUCCCAGAUUCUGGCUUGACAAGUAUGAUUAUACAGGUAUACUCCCUAUUCAGGACUCUGGAAAAGCUGGGUGAGCAAUUGUAUUUACAUCACUUUAGUUAAGUCUGAAACCCAGUUAAAAGGCAAAUAAGCAUAGAUACAGAAAUAUGGGUAAGGUGAUGGGGCACAUAUCACAUCCAGGACUCUGGAAAAGCUGGGUGGCAAACCCUAUAGGAGCAAAUCACCAAUGGAUACAUGACUGUUAUUAGUCUGAAUUGAGGUAUUCAUCUUUUCCAGACCCCUGAAUGGCAAAAAAAAAAAA